rnacentral:lncRNA from 1 species
UUGAAACUGAUGGCUUUAAAACAACUAUAGUUUUUGAGUUCACAGUUUUCUUCUUUUGCUUUUUGUCUUUUUCAGGGUGCGUACAUUUCACAUCGGAUCUGUGGUACCUACUGUCCAGACACAGGAGCUUGGGAAUGAAUGAGAAGAUUCUACUCCUUCCACUUGGGCUGGCUGGAUAGGCCUUCACAGCUUACCCAGAACUUUAUCUUCAGUGGUGUAUUUGCGUCAUGACCAAGCUCCUGGAAAAGAUCCUGAUGAAUCAAAGCCGGAUCGUUUUAGGAAUCCAGUUUCAGACCUUCCCCGAACCAAGAUAUAUUCCCCAUCAACCUUGAAGAAGCAAGUAGCCAUCAGUUCCACAGCAGCAGAGAGAUGGAAUUUACCAACAACCAUUAAACUUGGAAAAGGACCUUGGACCUCAGACGAGACUGUAGUCCUGACUGACACCCUGCCUGCAAUCUUGGGAGAUCCUGAGCAGAAGACCCAGCUAAGUAAGUUGUGUCUAGACUUCUGAUCUAUAGCAAUUAUGAAAUGAUAAAUGGGUGUUGUUUUAUACCAGUAAGUUUGUGGUAAUUUGUUACCCCCCCCCAAGAGACAGCUAAUAUACCUCUACUUUUGGUCUCUUGGAUACUUGCUUUUGGAACCUAGCUGCUGUGAUGUGAGAAGCCCAGGUCAUAUAGAAAGCCCUACUAUGCUCACAGCCAGUAGCCAGCAUCAGUUGCUAGUCACGGGAGGGUGGCACGUUGGCCACCCAAGUCAGCCUGGUUUCACUACAACUGCCAACAAGACCCCACACGGGAGCCAUCCAGCUGUGCUCAGUGAAUUCACAGAAAUGUGAG